rnacentral:rRNA from 1 species
CUUUUUUUGUUUUAUUUUUUUUAUAUUAUUUUUGUAAAAUGUUUUAAUUUUAUUAUAUUUUUAAAGAUAUUGAAAAUUUGUUUGUUGAACUGGAUUAGUACCCAGGUAAUCAAAAUUUAUUAAUUCGGGAGUAAAGUUUUGUUUAAACCGAAAAAAUAUUGACUGACUUUAGAUUUUUCUUUGGAACAUGUGUAUGGAGAGUCCUCUUUUUUAGUGAGUUUUAUUGGCACAUGUAUGAUUGUUUAGUUUUUAUGUUAUUUUGUGAUGCUUUUUUUUGUUUAAUUGAAAAACAGAUAUAUAUUUGGUUUAUAAGCUUGUUAAUCAUGUGUUACUAUUAUUAAUUUUUUUUGGAUCUUUUUUUUAAUAUUUUGUGAAAUUGGAAAAGAAAGUAAUUAAAUUUUGAUAUUUUGAUGAAUU